UAAUUGAAGAGUUUGAUCAUGGCUCAGAUUGAACGCUGGCGGCAGGCUUAACACAUGCAAGUCGAGCGGUAGCACAAGGGAGCUUGCUCCCUGGGUGACGAGCGGCGGACGGGUGAGUAAUGUCUGGGAAACUGCCUGAUGGAGGGGGAUAACUACUGGAAACGGUAGCUAAUACCGCAUAACGUCGCAAGACCAAAGAGGGGGACCUUCGGGCCUCUUGCCAUCAGAUGUGCCCAGAUGGGAUUAGCUAGUAGGUGGGGUAAUGGCUCACCUAGGCGACGAUCCCUAGCUGGUCUGAGAGGAUGACCAGCCACACUGGAACUGAGACACGGUCCAGACUCCUACGGGAGGCAGCAGUGGGGAAUAUUGCACAAUGGGCGCAAGCCUGAUGCAGCCAUGCCGCGUGUGUGAAGAAGGCCUUCGGGUUGUAAAGCACUUUCAGCGAGGAGGAAGGUGGUGAGCUUAAUACGCUCAUCAAUUGACGUUACUCGCAGAAGAAGCACCGGCUAACUCCGUGCCAGCAGCCGCGGUAAUACGG
rnacentral:ncRNA from 1 species